CCUACGGGUGGCUGCAGUGGGGAAUAUUGCACAAUGGGGGAAACCCUGAUGCAGCGACGCCGCGUGAGUGAAGACGUAUUUCGGUAUGUAAAGCUCUAUCUGCAGGGAAGAAAAUGACGGUACCUGAUUAAGAAGCCCCGGCUAACUACGUGCCAGCAGCCGCGGCAAUACGUAGGGGGCAAGCGUUAUCCGGAUUUACUGGGUGUAAAGGGAGCGUAGAGGGGGGGACAAGUCAGGUGGGAAAUGCCGGGGCUUAACCCCAAAAUUGCUUUGGAAACUGUGAAGUUAGAGUUCAGGAGAGGUAGGUGGAAUUCGUGGUGUAGCGGUGAAAUGCGUAGAUAGUACGAAGAACACCAAGGGCGAAGGCAGCUUACUGGACUGUAACUGACAUUGAGGCUCGAAAGUGUGGGGAGCAAACAGGAUUAGAUACCCCAGUAGUC
rnacentral:rRNA from 1 species